GCGGGUGUAGUUCAACGGUUAGAACCUCAGUUUUCCAAACUGAAGAUGAGGGUUCGAUUCCCUCCACCCGCU
rnacentral:tRNA from 3 species